rnacentral:rRNA from 1 species
AUUGAACGCUGGCGGCAGGCCUAACACAUGCAAGUCGAGCGGAUGAAGGGAGCUUGCUCCUGGAUUCAGCGGCGGACGGGUGAGUAAUGCCUAGGAAUCUGCCUGGUAGUGGGGGAUAACGUCCGGAAACGGGCGCUAAUACCGCAUACGUCCUGAGGGAGAAAGCGGGGGAUCUUCGGACCUCACGCUAUCAGAUGAGCCUAGGUCGGAUUAGCUAGUUGGUGGGGUAAAGGCCUACCAAGGCGACGAUCCGUAACUGGUCUGAGAGGAUGAUCAGUCACACUGGAACUGAGACACGGUCCAGACUCCUACGGGAGGCAGCAGUGGGGAAUAUUGGACAAUGGGCGAAAGCCUGAUCCAGCCAUGCCGCGUGUGUGAAGAAGGUCUUCUGAUUGUAAAGCACUUUAAGUUGGGAGGAAGGGCAGUAAGUUAAUACCUUGCUGUUUUGACGUUACCAACAGAAUAAGCACCGGCUAACUUCGUG